rnacentral:lncRNA from 1 species
CCACAUGCCAGCUUGCUUGCCCCUGUUGGAUUCAGCGGAGGGAGAUAGGCCUUGCUAUACCUGUGGUGUCUGCCAAAGCUUCCUCCUGGCAAUUCUUGGGAGUGCUGAUACCUGGGCCACAGUUAGUCCAAGUUUAUCACUGAAGAUCCUAUCAAAGUUUUGUCUGAAAUUCCACUUUUGCCUUUUGUCCUAAGUGGUUGUGGACAUCUCCAGGGGCUGAUACCAAGGACUAGGAACAGCUGAGGGAGGCAGAAAGGUUCAGAGUACAUUUCUAUUUACAGGGAACAGAACACCGGCCUCCGAGAGUCCAUGGAGCAAUGGGAAAAUUGCAGUGAUUGCUCAUCACUGUGAAACUUCUACUUUGAAUACAGUAUCUUCUGGCAAGCACUGGGGACUGCAGUCGACAAUGCUGCUGAAUAUACCUGAGUACAUAAUAGGGUCUCACUGUGUUGACCAGGCUGCACUUGAACCUCUGACCUCAAGCAAUCCUUCUGCCUUGGCCUCCCAAAGUGCUGGAAUUAUAGUCAUGAGCCACCACACCCAGCCCCUAAGUGGACAUUUAAUCCAUGUACAUUCAAGGUUAUUAUUGUCUAUAUUUGAUAUAAUCAAAUACUUAGUCAUUUUAAAAUUAUUUUAAUAGUUUCAAAUAUAUUUGUUAAAUUUGCUCUAUUUGAAUCAGGAUCUAAAGAAGUUUCAAAGUUGCAUUGGCUAAUAUAUCUUUUUAGUUUUUAAAAAUAUAUAUGAAUUCCUUUCUCCUGCUUUUUAGCUCUGUGUAUUUGCUGAAUAAUCCAGGAUAUUCAUCCUGUUGAAUAUUCCAUACCUUGUGAUUAUCUUAUUAAACCCUACGGUGUUCUUGCAUGUUUCUCUCUUUGACAUAUUUCCUGUAUAUUAUCAUAAAAUAGAGAAUAUUUACCAAUUAGGCUCAUUUCUAGUUGGUUCUAUGUGCUCCAUAUUAUACUUUAUGUGUAUUCACUUCAUGUGAUAUAAAAAUUGAUCAGUAGGUUCAGGUAUUUUCAGCUGAUUCAUUCCAUAUAUGUUUUCUUCUGAAACAGUUACUCGUCAUUUUAGCUUCUAUUGGUUGUUAUCUUAGGCCCAUUAAUUCAUUGGGUUCCAAAUGAAUUUGUCUGUAUGUUAGUGUCCUAUGAAACAAUUCUUUUCUCCGAUGUUUUAUAACUUAAUUAAAAUGCCAGAUCUUGAUUUUUAGCAGUUGUAAUUUUUUUCUGUUAAUUUAAUUACAUUUUUAAGUUACAUAAAACAGCUACAUGAUUUCAAAGUCAAAAAUAUAAAAUAAGAUGUAUUCAGAAUAACUUUUAUCCCUGUGCCUUGCCCUGUUUCCUCCUCCUGCCAUAAGAAAAUUAUAUAUGGAUUAUGUUUUUGCCAUUUUAAGUAUGCUUAUUUAAAUAUUUAUAAAAUAUAUACUUAUAUAUGCAUGUAAAUCCAAUGUAUUUAUCCCUGUUUUAACAUAAAAAUAACAUUCUGGUGUCACUUUUUUGUUUCUUUUCAGUUAAGGUAUACCUUGUAGAUUACUUUAGAGUAGUAUUUGGAGAUAUUUCUCACUCAUUUUAUAGUUGCUUCAUACUCUAUUGCGUACAAGUUUUGCAAGUAGUACUCACUAAUUGUCAUUUGGUUACUUUCCUUUUUUUUUUUUUUUUUUGAGAUGGAGUCUUGCUCUGUCAUCCUGGCUGGAGUGCAGAGGCACGUUCUGGGCUCACUGAAACCUCUGCCUCCCAGGUUCAAGCGAUCCUCCCACCUCAGCCUCUCAAGUAGCUGGAAUUACAAGUGUGCACCACCACACCCGGCUAAUUUUUGUAUUUUUGGUAGAGAUGGGGUUUCGCCAUGUUAGCCACGCUGGUCUUGAAUUCCUGGCCUCAAGUGAUCUGCCCGCCUCAGCCUCCCAAAAUGCUGGGAUCACAGGCAUGAGCCACCACGCCCGGCCUACUUUCCGUUCUUUACUAUGAAAAACAAUGCUUCAAUGAAUAGACUUGUGUGCAUCAAUUAUUUUGUAUUUUUGCCAAUAUAUCUUUAGGAUAGAAGUAGGAUUGCUAGACCAAAAGUCAGUACCAUGUAAAUUUUUUAAGAUAUUGCCAAGAGUUGUACCAUUUUGUAUUCUCACCAACAAUGCAUAAGAGUGCCUCUCUCGGUGUUUUAGACAUGAAGUCCU